CUACGGGUCGCUGCAGUGGGGAAUAUUGGACAAUGGGCGGAAGCCUGAUCCAGCAAUGCCGCGUGUGUGAAGAAGGCCCGAGGGUUGUAAAGCACUUUCAGUGGGGAGAAGGAAGCUAUGGUUAAGAGCUGUAGUGGAAGAUGUUACCCACAGAAGAAGCACCGGCUAACUCUGUGCCAGCAGCCGCGGUAAUACAGAGGGUGCAAGCGUUAAUCGGAAUGACUGGGCGUAAAGGGUGCGUAGGUGGUUGUAUAAGUUAGAUGUGAAAUACCCGGGCUUAACCUGGGAAUGGCGUCUGAUACUGUAUGACUAGAGUGUUGUAGAGGAAAGUGGAAUUUCCGGUGUAGCGGUGAAAUGCGUAGAUAUCGGAAGGAACAUCAGUGGCGAAGGCGACUUUCUGGACAGCAACUGACACUGAGGCACGAAAGCAUGGGGAGCAAACAGGAUUAGAUACCCUGGUAGUC
rnacentral:rRNA from 1 species